GACGAACCGUGCGAACGUUAUUCGGAAUCACUGGGCUUAAAGCGCGUGUAGGCGGGAGGGCACGUCGGUCGCUGAAAUCCCCCGGCUCAACCGGGGAAGUGGCGCCGAUACGACCUUCCUGGAGGAACGUAGGGGGACCUGGAACUUCCGGUGGAGCGGUGAAAUGCGUUGAGAUCGGAAGGAACGCCCGUGGCGAAAGCGGCUCUCUGGGACGGUACUGACGCUGAGACGCGAAAGCGUGGGGAGCGAACAGG
rnacentral:rRNA from 1 species